rnacentral:sRNA from 1 species
CCAUAGCCCCGAUUGCAGUGGAAAUCCUUUUUUGCGUAGACUUCUCGUUCUAAAUUAUGAACAAAAGGUGACGCAAAAAAGAUUGCAACGGAAAGCGGGAUUAAGC